AUUGAACGCUGGCGGCAGGCCUAACACAUGCAAGUCGAACGAGUGGCGGACGUGUGAGUAAUGUCUGUGAAACUGCCUGAUGGAGGGCGAUAACUACUGGAAACUGUAGCUAAUACCGCAUACCAUCGGAUGUGCCCAGAUGGGAUUAGCUAGUAGGUGGGGUAAAGGCUCACAUAGGCGACGAUCCCUAGCUGGUCUGAGAGGAUGACCAGCCACACUGGAACGGAGACACGGUCCAGACUCCUACGGGAGGCAUCAGUGGGGAAUAUUGAACAAUGGGCGAAAGCCGGAUGCAGCCAUGCCGCGUGUGUGAAGAAGGCCCUCGGGUUGUAAAGUACUUUCAGAGUGGAGGCGUUACCAGGAGAAGAAGAACCGGCUAACUCCGUGCCAGCAGCCGCGGUGAUAC
rnacentral:rRNA from 1 species